rnacentral:lncRNA from 1 species
GGCUGCUGCGUGUCUGGUAGAAGGACUGCCCCUCUCUGUCGUCAUGUCCACAUCCCAUCAACCCCGGGUAGGCACUGCCUACCAGGAUGCCCAAAAGCCCCCUGAAGGGGAGAGUAAGGGGCCUGGACAUGCAGAUAUUCCUGAGGAGAAAGGAAAGCUCCCUUUACCUGAACUUGGAUGAAGCAAGUUAUUGCUAGUCUGAAGUUUCUUCAGAGUCAGGCAGGAAUAAUAAUAAUUAAAAGACCCAAUCUGAUCCCCAAGUCUUCCAACCACCACCACCACCACUCCACUUAAAUAUUAUUUAAAUAUUAAAUAAUUACGUGUACACACAGGUCAGGCUGUACUAAACUCUUCUAUACAUCUUGAUGUCACGGCUUCUCAGCGGAGAAGGAUGUUAAGCAAGGUUAAUGACACCCGGUGCCAGGCACUGAUGACAUGCAGCUGACAAGGUGAGAUGCCCUCACGUUGCCCACAGUGCAGGGGACUGGUGGGGACAGAAAGAUGUAGGUACCGGAUCCCAUUCAAAGGACCGAUUGAAUGGGAGUCUGCCUGGGUGGCCUCCCAAGGCUUCUUCCAUUCUAUCAUCGGGUAAUUAUUAUUAUUAUUUGUCAAAAACUACCCUGCUUUGUCACAAUUCUCAUUUCAGUUUAGCCAUAAACAUUCAACGUGGAUAGUUCGAUGCGGGAGUUUUCCUCUAUUUCCUGAGGGGUAAUAUUCGGUGUUAAUUACAGUUUCAAAGACCCAGAGUAAAUGAUGCGGGAAGGAGCCUCUGAGAGACCCUUCUCCCCACCUCUGUUGGUAGAUUCUGGCGGGAGCGCGCAGGGCCGGUUCCAUCGGCGGCGGUGCGGCCACGGGGUCCGGCCCUAAUCACGCCCUUGCCAACAGGAUGGCCUCCUUCAGUGCAAUUUCCACUCCAGUGCUGUAUCCAUUUUCUUUCUCCUCUUCAGAGAAACAGCCGGCCCUUCCUACUUCCCCGCCUCCUCCCCAGGCCCCUUCAAUAAUUGAGGCUAAGCCGGAGCCCGGCACCCUUGGGCAGCCCUUGAUUAAGAAGCCAUCGAGUGGCCGCCUUCCACGUCAGCGUCCUGGUCUCCGAGGCUGGUUAAGAUGGAGCCCAACGGCUCUCCUGGAGAAGAGUGACCCACCAUCCCGACCGUGAGAGAGAGGAAUUUUCGCGAAGCGGAAGGCACAUGCUUCUGAGGCGAGGAUCUGGCGUUCCAAAAGACUUACACCUUAAGCAGAACAUUCUAACUGGGUGACUGUGGACCCGACUAAGUCAAUAACUCAACAGACCGCAUCUUAAGAAAAGGCAGAGAACUUCCUUAAAACAUGGCUUUUCUACAUUCUUUUCAUUCUAGAGACUCAGAGAAGGAAACUGCGUUUCAGAAGCAUUAACUGGAUGGAAAUGGCACAGAUGGAGUUGGGAGCCAGUGCGACUCCAGAGCUGAGCUCCUGUGAGUGUCUGUGAAGCAGGUCACUGAUGUUCCCAGUGAUUGGGACAUACUGAAGCUCACCACAAGCUUAUUGUUGUGAUAAGUCCUUCUGCCACAUGGCAUCCGGAGCUGAGCACCUGGCAGCGCUUCUGUGGGGGGAGAAGAAUUAGCAAGAGGAGGCUGUGGAUCUUCAGGUUUGGAAUCCGAUCCGAGAUGAAAACAAGGAGCAUCAAAAAUGCCCUGGUGUAUCGCUGGCUUUAAAAGAAUGUGCAUUCUUCCCCAUUCCUUCUACGACAUCACGGUAAUGGGUCCAACAUGAUGGCAGAUGUCCAUCCAUAGCCAAGAUAUGGAAACAACCUAAGUGCCCAUGGACAGAGGAGUGGAUAAAGAAGAUGUGGUAUGUAUACACAAUGGAAUAUUACUCAGCCAUUCAAAGGCAAGAAAUAAUGGCAUUUGCAGCAACAUGGACGGAGGGAUCCAUUUAUUUGUCGAUGGACUCUUGGGUUGCUUCUACCUUUUGUCUCUUGGGAAUAAUGCUGCUGUGAAUACGGGAGUACAAAUAUAUCUUCCAGACUCUGCUUUCAGUUCUUGUGGAUAAAUACCCAGAAGUGGAACUGCUGGAUCAAAUGGUAAUUCUAUGUUUAAUUUUUUGAGAAACUGCCAUACUGUUUUUCAUUGUGGCUGUACUGCUACAUUCUCACCAAUUGUGCACAAAGGUUCCAAUUUAUCCACUCCUCACCAAAACUUGUUAUUUUCUUUCUUUAAAAAUAUGUUUUACAGUAGCCAUCAUUUGGGUAUGGGUGGUAUCUUCUUGCAGUUGUUUUUUGUUUUUUUUGUUUUAUGUUUUUUUUUUUUUGCUUUUUAGGGCCACACUUGUGGCAUAUGGAGCGUCCCAGGCUAGGGGUCCGGUCAGAGCUAAAGCUGCUGGUCUACACCACAGCCACAGCAACGCAGGAUCUGAGCCGCAUCUGUGACCUACAUCGCAGCUCAUGGUAAUGCCAGAUCCUUAACCCACUGAGCAAGGCCAGGGAUCGAACUUGCAACUUCAUGGUUCCUAGUCGGAUUCGUUUCCACUGCACCAUGAAGGGCACUCCUCUUGCAGUUUUGAUUUGCAUUCCCUAAUGAUUAGUGAUGUGGAGAAUCUUUUCAUGUGCUUAUUGACCAUUUGUAUAUUUGGUCUAUUUGAAAAUAUCUAUUCAAGUUCUUUGCCCAUUUCCUUCCUUCCUUCCUUCCCUUCUUCCUUCCUUCCCUUCUUUCUUCCUUCCUUCCUUCCCUUCUUUCUUUCUUCCCUUCUUUCUUUCUUUCUUUCUUUCUUUCUUUCUUUCGGGGCUGUACCUGCCUGCCUACGCCACAGCUCACGACAAUGCUGGAUCCUUAACCCACUGAGUGAGGCCAGGGAUGGAACCCACAUCCUCACGGAUACUAGGCAGGUUCGUUACUGCUGAGCCACAACGGGAACUCCCUCUUUGCCCAUUUUUCAUAAGAUUUUUGUUUUGUUCAGUUGUAGGAGUUCUCCAUAUAUUCUGGAUAUUAAUCAGAUGGAAGAUUUACUUUUUUCUAUUCUGUGGGUUGCCUUUUCAUUCUCUUGAUUGUACCCUUUAAUGCACAGAAAUUUUAAAUCUUGAAAUAGCCCAAUUUGUCUAUUUUUCUUCUGUUGCCUGUGUUUUUGGUGUCAUAGCUAAGAAAUCAUUGCCAAAUCCAAUGUCCUGAACCUCUUCCUCAGUGUUUUCUUCUAAGAAUUUUACGUUUUAGCUCUUAUUGUUUAGGUCUUUGAUCAAUUUUGAGUUAAUGUUUCAAUAUGUGGCUUAGUAAGAGUCUAAAUUCCUUUUUUCCCCCCUUUGGCCACACCUGUGGCAGAUGGAAGUUCCCAGGCCUGGGAUCAGCUCCUUGGUGGAGCUGCCAUUGCCAUCUGGCCUUCGGGGAAGCCUCUAUGUUCCUGCUCCAUUGGUAAGGGAGAAAGGACCAUGGCUAAUUUAAAAUCCAGCUCUGGUUGGCCUCAAGCUUUUCUUUUUAAAAUUUUUUUAUUUUUAAUUUUUUGGGUCUUUUGUCUUUUUAGGGUUAAUACACUGAUAUAAAUUGCAAACGUAGUUAAUUUUUUAACGUUUGAAAAAAAAAAAGAAAAUACCAUACAGAUGAUACACGUAACUCAACUUAGUAUGGCAAAAGACUUUCUGAUUAUAAGUACGACGAAAUAUAUUAAAAGAGAAAUGAUAGAUUUGAUUUUAUAAAUUGUGCGCAAAAACCCUUUAAAAGGAAACAAUAAGUUUAUCAUGGAAUGUUCAUCUUUUUUAAAUUUCUUUUUUCAAAUGAUUUUUAUUUUUUCUAUUAAAGUUGGUUUACAGUGGUCUG